AUUCUCAAGGCAAACACUAGCUGGUUAGCUAGGUUAGCAGAUCUACAGGAUAAUCUUACAGCUGUGGUGGGAUAACGGGAAUUUUACUCAUUUUAUUUAGUUAAACAAACAUACAACGGAGUUUGUCUGGAUUUCAAACCCAUCAUAUCAACUCUGAGUUUUAGUUUUUCGCGCGUUGUGUAAAUUGGAGAGAUUUUGGCCUCUUUUCUGUUGGAAUAAGCUCAAGCUAAUUUAGUUACGUUAGCGUUUCCACACAGCCAUUAUGGCUGACUUUGGGUUUAAUGAACACCAUCAGAAUGAAAUCAUCAACUACAUGCGAUUUGCUCGUUCAAAGAGGCUCCUAAGGCUCAAGACUAUUGAUUCAUGUUUUGAGGAACUCAAAGACAGCAGGCUGGUGGAGGAGACCUUCACAGUGGACGAGGUUAGGGAGAUGCUGGACGGGCUGCAGAUGGUGGUCCGGGGGGAGGUGGAGAUGGAGCUAAUCAACACAGCCCACACUAACGUGCUGCUGCUCAGGCAACUUUUCUCUCAGGCUGAGAAGUUUUACCUUCGGCUCCAGAGUGACAUCUCAGAGCUGGAAAACAGGGAGCUGUUAGAGCAAGUGGCUGAAUUUGAGAAGACUGACUUUAAAACUACCAAUAAGAUGAACCUGGAAACAAGUAAACCCAAGUUGGCGCCACUGAAUGAAGGUGGGGUGUCGGAGCUUCUUAACAAGGAGAUAGCAAGAUUACAAGAAGAGAACGACAAACUGAAAUCCAGGCUGCGGACUUUAGAAUCACAGGCCAUGAGUGCACUAGAUGAGAAAACAAAAGCAGAGAGAGCUCUGAAAGAUCUAAAGAGGACACAAGGGGAACAACAGCUUUCUGCUCAAACAAAGGAGAUCAGCAGCCUGGAGGAUACAGUAGCAGCUCUGAAGGAGGACUAUGAAAGAUCUCUCAGUGCCAAAGCUGCAUCCCAGAAGGACCUGCAGGAGAAUCUAAUCACUGCCAAGCAUGAACUUCUGCGGGUUCAGGAGCAGCUGGCCUUGGCAGAGAAGAUAGCUGUAACACAGAAUGAUGGACAUUGGUUAAAACAGAUAAACAGACAUGACCAAAGCAGGAGUUGGACAAGAAGUUCCAGCAAACCGCAGCAUACCGCAACAUGAAGGAGAUUCUAACUAAGAAGAACGAGCAAAUCAAAGAGAUUAGGAAACGACUGCAAAAGUAUGAGCCUGAUGACUGAGUUCCACAUGUUUUCUUUAGUAGGACAGGACCAAAGUUUUUUCUGACUGGUUUGGAACAAGAAACAUUCAGUUCCAGUGUUUUUUAUUUCUGUUUUAUCUGGCAUUCUCUGUCCCUGUAAGCUUCAGUGAAGAGCAGGCCGGUCCAUUGGGGGAUUUCACAACUGAAUACUCAGAAGAUUUGAUGACAGAUGUGUUUUUUUCCCCCUUCACUGUGUCAACUUUGAGCUCGCCUACAGUAGCUGGUAGAUUUCCCUCAGUGCUCUAUGCAAUAACCAACAUUUUCCUGUUUAAAGGGGCCUUGUCCUUUUGCUGAACUGGGCAGAAAUGUUCUGUUUGCCUGAAGCUUGGUAGUCUUGUCAUACCUUGCAAACGCAUUCAUAGCUCUUGAACUUUUUCACAUUUUAUCGUGUUCCAACCACGAACUUCAACGUGUUUUACUGGGAUUUUAUGUGAUGGACCAACACAACAAAACAGUUUUCAGAACUUGGACCCCUGAGUCAAUACUGUGUAAAAGUUUUCUUUCACUGCAAGUGUAGCUGUAGGGGUUUUGGGGAUCGUCUGUAGUAGGUUUUCUAGAGAACCUACUGUUAGAUUGGAUGGAGGGUGGAGGACCUUGACCGUACCAUUCUAUUAGAUGAAUAUAGUUUAGAUAACAACAGCUCUGGCCACCCCCAUCUUUUGCUGUCUAAAAGGCUGUUUUUAAAUAUUACCUAUUUUUAGUUCCAUCCAUUUUUGCUGUGAAAGCAUCCCUGCAGCAACUUGCUGCCACCACCAUGUUUCACCAUGGCGAUGAAGUUUUCACUGUGAUGUGCUGUCCGACUUUUUGCCACACCAACAGUAGGCAAAAAAUGUAACUUCGGCCUUUGGUUUUGAUCUUAUCUGAUCAGAGCGCCUUCUUCCACAUGUUUGCCGUGUCCCCUACAUCUGCUUGUGGUGGAUGUUGUGGUGUUUAAAGCCUGGUUGGGAUGUUGUUUUAUAAUUAAUAAAUUUCUCCACGACUUUCCUGGUGUUUACGAUGCUGCUUGUUCACUAAUGUUUUCUAAUGAACCUCUGAGGCCUUCACAGCUGGAUUUAUACUGAGAUAAGAAUAAACGCAGGUGGACUCUUAUUUACCACCUAGGUGACUUCUGGAUUUACCAGAGUUUGCUUAGGGGUAUCACAGUAAAGUGGGCUCAAAACAAAUGCACGGCACGCUUUUCAGAUUAUUCAGAACCAUGUGUUUUCCUUUCAUUGAACAAUUAUGCACCAUUUUGUGUUGUUCUAUCACAUAAAAAUCCCAGUAAAAUACAUCAAUGUUGUGUUGCUACGUAGGAAAAAGUUCAAAGAGUAUAAAUACAUUUGCAAGGCACUGCAUAUAUUCCAGUGUAGGACCUGGUAAAUACAUAACAAUAUUUUGCUCAUCUGUCUUAACUUUAGCAGCACCUUAAAGUCAAAGGUCCAGUUUUAGACAAAGUUAAUUCCAAACCACUUUGUUUAAUAUUGACCCUCCUUAUGAAAGGUGAUGCUUUAAGAAGAUUUUAUGACACUCUUGCUUAUCUAAACAAUAAUAUUUUAUUCUACCCGCAGUUUAUUUCUUUUCUGCUCUUACAUCUAGAUUUAGACGGCCUACAAUAUUUUUGCUGUUGAAUCCUUGCAUAUUUUUUGUAUCGCUGUACAUAAACGAUUUUCAUUAUAAAAAUGCUCUUGUAGAGUGUGCAUUUAACUGGAUUGUGAAAAUUUGAUAGGAUAAUAAAAAGUGUGGCCAAAUGCA